GUGUACACAUGAAUCCUAUCAUUAUCACAAGGGUACUAAAAAACCUUAACUAAGGAAAAAGGUAAAUGUCAGGAGUUAAAUCCAAAGAAAAUUUGUAAUUAUAGCAUAACAAAUGUUUCAAACUCUGUCUUUGCUUGUACUUGUAAUCAAAAUAUAGUUGUUUAUUUGUUUGUUUAAUUUUUAUAUAUAUUUGUACCUAAUUGUUUCUCUUUCUUUAUGUACCUCGAUGACAUCGCUUUAAUGCUUGCACUUAUUUAUAAUUCUCUAAAGAAGGGUGGUGUUUGUUUUCUUCACUUAUUUGUAUCAUUCUCAUGAUUAUUUAUACCAUUUUUUUUAGUUUUCCAUUUUCUAUCUUCCAUGGCUAUACCUUUCAAUAUGCAAGCAUCAACUGUUUCAUCACUUGAAAGAAUUGUGGAGAAUGAGAAACAUGAUGAAUCCUCUAGACUGUUAUCUUAAAAUGAUUUGCUUACUCAAACUCUCAGAAAAGAGCACUAGGUUAGAGUGCGUGGCGAAGGCUUUGGACCGACUUCUAGUAAACUCUUUGGUAGAAAUUCACAUUAGCCGGGUGAUGGCGCACAAACAGAGGGGUGGUACUUGAACUACAAGAAGAGGUAGCGGCUGAGAAAUUGAAAAGGAAGGCAGUGGAGAAUGAAGUAGCACUACAAAAACAUCGGCAGAUAACGGUGCCUUUUUAGAUGCCCACAUGUUGAACCAGCAGAAAAGUACAUGUCCUUGAUAAUUCCUACCUUCAACGAGGAGCAUAGGCUUUCCAGAGCUCUUGAAGAAACGAUGAAAUAUGUUGAAGCACUUUUGAUUUCUCUUAAUUGAAUUGUUUCAAAUUCUCAAGCACUACGGUGUUUUAUGAAAUGCUUAUUUAUUUUUCUUCUUACUAAA